rnacentral:rRNA from 1 species
AUUGAACGCUGGCGGCAGGCUUAACACAUGCAAGUCGAGCGGAGAUGAGGUGCUUGCACCUUAUCUUAGCGGCGGACGGGUGAGUAAUGCUUAGGAAUCUGCCUAUUAGUGGGGGACAACAUUCCGAAAGGAAUGCUAAUACCGCAUACGUCCUACGGGAGAAAGCAGGGGACCUUCGGGCCUUGCGCUAAUAGAUGAGCCUAAGUCGGAUUAGCUAGUUGGUGGGGUAAAGGCCUACCACGGCGACGAUCUGUAGCGGGUCUGAGAGGAUGAUCCGCCACACUGGGACUGAGAAACGGCCCAGACUCCUACGGGAGGCAGCAGUGGGGAAUAUUGGACAAUGGGCGGAAGCCUGAUCCAGCCAUGCCGCGUGUGUGAAGAAGGCCUUUUGGUUGUAAAGCACUUUAAGCGAGGAGGAGGCUACUUAGAUUAAUACUCUAGGAUAGUGGACGUUACUCGCAGAAUAAGCACCGGCUAACUCUGUGCCAGCAGCCGCCGUAAAAC